UACGUAGGGGGCAAGCGUUGUCCGGAUUUAUUGGGCGUAAAGAGCGUGUAGGCGGCCAGACAGGUCCGUUGUGAAAACUCGAGGCUCAACCUCGGGACGCCGAUGGAAACCGUCUGGCUAGAGUCCGGAAGAGGGGAGUGGAAUUCCUGGUGUAGCGGUGAAAUGCGCAGAUAUCAGGAAGAACACCCGUGGCUAAGGCGGCUCUCUAGUACGGUACUGACGCUGAGACGCGAAAGCGUGGGGAGCGAACAGG
rnacentral:rRNA from 1 species